rnacentral:rRNA from 1 species
GAUGAACGCUGGCGGCGUGCCUAAUACAUGCAAGUCGAGCGAACAGAUGAGGAGCUUGCUCCUCUGACGUUAGCGGCGGACGGGUGAGUAACACGUGGAUAACCUACCUAUAAGACUGGGAUAACUUCGGGAAACCGGAGCUAAUACCGGAUAAUAUAUUGAACCGCAUGGUUCAAUAGUGAAAGACGGUUUUGCUGUCACUUAUAGAUGGAUCCGCGCCGCAUUAGCUAGUUGGUAAGGUAACGGCUUACCAAGGCAACGAUGCGUAGCCGACCUGAGAGGGUGGUAGCCCGCCCGGGAAGUGAGACGCGGUCAUGGCUCCUGCGGGACGGAGCAGUAGGGAAUCGGCCGCAACGGGCGAGAGUAUGGCAGAGCGACGCCACGUGAGUGGUGACAAUCUUCCGAGCGUGAAACUGUGUUAUUAGGGAAGAACAAAUGUGUACGUAGCUAUGCCCGUCUUGACGGUACCUAAUCAGAAAGCCACGGCUAACUACGUG